UCCUACGGGGGGCAGCAGUGAGGAAUAUUGGUCAAUGGCCGGAAGGCUGAACCAGCCAAGCCGCGUGAAGGACGAAGGUGCCAAGCAUUGUAAACUUCUUUUGUCAAGGGACAAAAUCAGGCUCGAGAGCCUGACCGAGGGUACUUGAAGAAAAAGCAUCGGCUAACUCCGUGCCAGCAGCCGCGGUAAUACGGAGGAUGCGAGCGUUAUCCGGAUUUAUUGGGUUUAAAGGGUGCGCAGGCGGAAGAUCAAGUCAGCGGUAAAAUUGAGAGGCUCAACCUCUUCGAGCCGUUGAAACUGGUUUU
rnacentral:rRNA from 1 species